GAUGAACGCUAGCUACAGGCUUAACACAUGCAAGUCGAGGGGCAGCAUGAACUUAGCUUGCUAAGUUUGAUGGCGACCGGCGCACGGGUGAGUAACACGUAUCCAACCUGCCGAUGACUCGGGGAUAGCCUUUCGAAAGAAAGAUUAAUACCCGAUGGCAUAGUUCUUCCGCAUGGUAGAACUAUUAAAGAAUUUCGGUCAUCGAUGGGGAUGCGUUCCAUUAGGUUGUUGGCGGGGUAACGGCCCACCAAGCCUUCGAUGGAUAGGGGUUCUGAGAGGAAGGUCCCUCACAUUGGAACUGAGACACGGUCCAAACUCCUACGGGAGGCAGCAGUGAGGAAUAUUGGUCAAUGGACGAGAGUCUGAACCAGCCAAGUAGCGUGAAGGAUGACUGCCCUAUGGGUUGUAAACUUCUUUUAUACGGGAAUAAAGUGAGGCACGGGUGCCUUUUUGUAUGUACCGUAUGAAUAAGGAUCGGCUAACUCCGUG
rnacentral:rRNA from 1 species